AGAGAAUGGCCUGAGCCCAGGACACAGAGGUUGCAGUGAGCUGAGAUCGCACCACUGUACUUUAGCCUGGGCGACAGAG
rnacentral:snRNA from 1 species